CGGGGUGAGUAACGCGUGGGUAACCUGCCUCAUACAGGGGGAUAACAGUUGGAAACGACUGCUAAUACCGCAUAAGCGCACGGGAUUGCAUGAUUCAGUGUGAAAAACUCCGGUGGUAUGAGAUGGACCCGCGUCUGAUUAGCCAGUUGGCGGGGUAGCGGCCCACCAAAGCGACGAUCAGUAGCCGACCUGAGAGGGUGACCGGCCACAUUGGGACUGAGACACGGCCCAA
rnacentral:rRNA from 1 species